UUGCUUUUGUAAUUAGCGAACAUGCAUUCAUUCCUCCUGGGCGAGGAAGCACUAUGCUUUGUCUCUUCAGUACACUGUGAGCCUAGGGGAGGUGCUCAUGUCGCUCACUGACCAAUCAGGACUUCCAGGGGAGGCUUGUAAUCAGAGGAAGGGGAGGGUUUUUCCUGGUGGUUUGUGGCAGGUUCGCUUUGGAAGCUGAGCUUUCCGGAGUGUUUCGCAUCCAGUGAUUUGAGCUCAGCUGCUGGGUCCUCUGAGGGGAUUUCAGGCGACUUCAAAGUGGCGACAUGAAUUCAAUUACCUAUGCUGAUGUGGAUAUAAACUUCACUCAGGAAGAGUGGGCUCUGUUGGAUCCUUCCCAGAAGAGUCUCUACAAAGAUGUGAUGAUAGAGACCUACAAGCACCUUACAGCUAUAGGCUACAAUUGGGAAGACCAUAAUAUGGAAGAACAUUAUCAACCUUCUAGAAGAUAUGGAAGGU